CACGUAGGCACCAAGCGUUGUCCGGAUUUAUUGGGCGUAAGAGCUACGUAGGCGGUUGAGUUAAGUCGGGUGUGAAAACUCUGGGCUUAAACCCACGGAGCCGCCCACUCGAUACUGCUCUGAACUUGAGUUCGGUAGGGGAGGCAGGGAAUUCCUAGUGUAGCGGUGAAAUGCGCAGAUAUUAAGGAGGAACGACCGGCUGGCGAAGGCGCUGCUCCUGGGGCCGAAACUGACGGCUGAGGAGCGAAAGCGUGGGUAGCAAACAGG
rnacentral:rRNA from 1 species